rnacentral:lncRNA from 1 species
AAGGCUUUUGCCUUAAGGGUCUAGUGAAUGCCUUACUGAUUCCCACACUUGCUUUUUCCUAGUGUCUGACUAUUUUAAGCCCUUGGACCUGGUACCUCUUGAGAGAGCUGAAACAUCCUUUUGCCUAUCUUAAUCUGCAGCAAUGGAGGUGCAGAGAGAGAAACAUUUUCCUCAUUCCUUACCUUUCUUUUGGAGCAGGCCCAGGUAGAGUGGUAAGACCUGAGGAAGAAACUUAAUAUCCAGAAUGGCUAUUGGCACACAUAGAGAAAUUUCUACAGAGGACAGAAGCUCGCCAAACAGAAUCUAAGAAAUCACAGAUGACAUAUACAGCAUUGGAAGAAAGUUUAAAUUUUCAUAGAAGCUUGUCAGACUCAUGAAACCUAAACCUGUUUCAUGUUUUAUAAAGGAGCCAUAAGCGUGACUGCCAAUGUGAAUUUUAGUUCUGCUUUCUUGAGAGACUUCCAGCUUGGUGGGACAUAGUUUGUAAU